rnacentral:rRNA from 1 species
ACUCAAAUGAAUAGACGGGGGCCCGCACAAGCAGUGGAUUAUGUGGUUUAAUUCGAAGCAACGCGAAGAACCUUACCAGGUCUUGACAUCCGGCUAACGAGGCAGAGAUGCGUCAGGUGCCCUUCGGGGAAAGUCGAGACAGGUGGUGCAUGGUUGUCGUCAGCUCGUGUCGUGAGAUGUUGGGUUAAGUCCCGCAACGAGCGCAACCCUUGCCAUUAGUUGCUACGCAAGAGCACUCUAAUGGGACCGCUACCGACAAGGUGGAGGAAGGUGGGGACGACGUCAAAUCAUCAUGCCCCUUAUGACCUGGGCUACACACGUAAUACAAUGGCCGCCAACAACGGGAGGCGAAGGCGCGAGCCGGAGCGAAUCCCCAAAAGCGGUCUCAGUUCGGAUCGCAGGCUGAAACCCGCCUGCGUGAAGUUGGAAUUGCUAGUAAUCGCGGAUCAGCAUGCCGCGGUGAAUACGUUCCCGGGCCUUGUACACACCGCCCGU